GACGAACGCUGGCGGCGUGCUUAACACAUGCAAGUCGAACGGAAAGGACCUGCUUUUGUGGGGUGCUCGAGUGGCGAAAGGGUGAGUAACACGUGAGUAACCUGCCCUUGACUUUGGGAUAACUUCAGGAAACUGGGGCUAAUACCGGAUAGGAGCUCCUGCUGCAUGGUGGGGGUUGGAAAGUUUCGGCGGUUGGGGAUGGACUCGCGGCUUAUCAGCUUGUUGGUGGGGUAGUGGCUUACCAAGGCUUUGACGGGUAGCCGGCCUGAGAGGGUGACCGGCCACAUUGGGACUGAGAUACGGCCCAGACUCCUACGGGAGGCAGCAGUGGGGAAUAUUGCACAAUGGGCGGAAGCCUGAUGCAGCAACGCCGCGUGCGGGAUGACGGCCUUCGGGUUGUAAACCGCUUUCGCCUGUGACGAAGCGUGAGUGACGGUAAUGGGUAAAGAAGCACCGGCUAACUACGUG
rnacentral:rRNA from 1 species